AGCAGCCGCGGUAAUUCCAGCUCCAAUAGCGUAUAUUAAAGUUGUUGCAGUUAAAAAGCUCGUAGUUGAAUUUCGGAAUCGACGGAUUGGUCGCGCCUUUGGUGUGUACUGGUCUUGCCGGUUUCUCCCUUCUGACGAACCACGAUGUCAUUAAUUUGGUGUCGUGGGGAAUCAGGACUGUUACUUUGAAAAAAUUAGAGUGUUUAAAGCAGGCAUUAGCUUGAAUACAUUAGCAUGGAAUAAUGAAAUAGGACGUUUGAUCUUAUUUUGUUGGUUUCUAGGAUCGACGUAAUGAUUAAUAGGGAUAGUUGGGGGCAUUAGUAUUCAAUUGUCAGAGGUGAAAUUCUUGGAUUUAUUGAAGACUAACUACUGCGAAAGCAUUUGCCAAGGAUGUUUUCAUUAAUCAAGAACGAAAGUUAGGGGAUCGAAGACGAUCAGAUAGCGUCGUAGUCUUAACCAUAAACUAUGCCGACUAGGGAUCGGAUGAUGUUUAAUUUUUAAUGUACUCA
rnacentral:rRNA from 1 species